rnacentral:rRNA from 1 species
GACGAACCGAGCGAACGUUGUUCGGAAUCACUGGGCUUAAAGGGCGCGUAGGCGGGCAGUCAAGUCAGGGGUGAAAUCCCGCGGCUCAACCGCGGAAGUGCCUUUGAUACUGGCUGUCUGGAGGGAGGUAGGGGCGUGCGGAACUUCCGGUGGAGCGGUGAAAUGCGUAGAUAUCGGAAGGAACGCCGGUGGCGAAAGCGGCGCGCUGGACCUCUUCUGACGCUGAGGCGCGAAAGCCAGGGGAGCAAACGGG